CCUACGGGUGGCAGCAGUCGAGAAUCAUUCACAAUGGGGGAAACCCUGAUGGGGCGACGCCGCGUGGGGGAAUGAAGGUCUUCGGAUUGUAAACCCCUGUCAUGUGGGAGCAAAGUAAAAAGAGAGUACCACAAGAGGAAGAGACGGCUAACUCGGUGCCAGCAGCCGCGGAAAGACAGAGGUCUCAAGCGUUGUGCGGAAUCACUGGGCGUAAAGCGUGCGUCGGCUGUUUCGUAAGUCGUGUGUGAAAGGCGCGGGCUCAACCCGCGGACGGCACCUGAGACUGCGAGACUAGAGUAAUGGAGGGGGAACCGUAAUUCUCGGUGUAGCCG
rnacentral:rRNA from 1 species